rnacentral:rRNA from 1 species
UGCGUAGGCGGGUUUCUAAGUCAGAGGUGAAAGCCUGGAGCUCAACUCCAGAACUGCCUUUGAUACUGGAAGUCUUGAGUAUGGCAGAGGUGAGUGGAACUGCGAGUGUAGAGGUGAAAUUCGUAGAUAUUCGCAAGAACACCAGUGGCGAAGGCGGCUCACUGGGCCAUUACUGACGCUGAGGCACAAAGGCUGGGAGCAAACA